rnacentral:lncRNA from 1 species
AAUUGUUCAUUUUUAUAUUUUUCUUGAUAUUAAGAAGUCUUUCUGUGUUAUCUCUUCAGUGUUUUCACACAUUAAAACAGAAAUUCAGAUUUUAAUUAACCCAGUGAAUUUGCCUGAAAAUAUGCUCCCUGGAACACAACUAAGUCGUGCUUAUGAUAAAGAUGUGGCUGGAAAGGGAGAUGUCUACCGUUUUCUGAAUAAAACAUAAGAUUUUGCCAUCGAUGCAAGUUCUGGUGUAAUCACUGCUACCAAAAUUUUUAAUUAUGAAACAGAUCCAAUAAGGUUUCUUCUGAUAGUUGAUACUGGGAGGCUCUAUAGACAUGAUUUGACCAUUAAUAUUAUUGAUGUUCCCGAAUCUCCAAACUGUACUGCUGAUCCCAAAUUUUCUUCAGGCACAGGCCGUUUCCUUUGGAUUCUAUUAAUGUGACUGAGAAGAAAUCUGUUGGAGAAAUUAUAGCAAGAGUAAAAGCAACAGAUCGAGAUGAAGAUAGCAGUAUCAUUUAUUCCUUUAAGACUCAGCAGAAAAUGUUUGGUUUGGACCCCUGUAAGUUUUAAAUAAAUACUUUUAGCCUACUUUGGCUAAACAUUCACUAUCUAAUCUCUGCACUUCCAUUAGAUCUUAGGCUGGUAAAACUGCCCUUUCAAAAUUAAAUGAAAUCUGAAGAAUAAAACAUUCCCCAAACAUGUGGUAUUUGACAGUUGCUGUUUUCCUAUUUCUGAAAAUGACAUUCUUGUGAAAUAAUGGGUGAUGUAAUACCUUGCUUUUAUAACUGAC